GCGGUCGUGGCGGAAUUGGUAGACGCGCAGCGUUGAGGUCGCUGUUCUUCACGGAGUGGAAGUUCGAGUCUUCUCGACCGCA
rnacentral:tRNA from 1 species